rnacentral:rRNA from 1 species
UUGACCUCGAAUCAGGUAGGAAUACCCGCUGAACUUAAGCAUAUCAAUAAGCGGAGGAAAAGAAACCAACCGGGAUUACCUCAGUAACGGCGAGUGAAGCGGUAACAGCUCAAAUUUGAAAUCUGGCUCCUCUGGAGUCCGAGUUGUAAUUUGUAGAAGAUGCUUUGGGUUGUGGGUUCGGCCUAAGUUCCUUGGAACAGGACGUCAUAGAGGGUGAGAAUCCCGUAUGCGGCCGAGGCCCGCGCCUAUGUAAAGCUCUUUCAACGAGUCGAGUUGUUUGGGAAUGCAGCUCAAAAUGGGUGGUAAAUUUCAUCUAAAGCUAAAUAUGGGCCAGAGACCGAUAGCGCACAAGUAGAGUGAUCGAAAGAUGAAAAGCACUUUGGAAAGAGAGUUAAACAGUACGUGAAAUUGUUGAAAGGGAAGCGCUUGCACCCAGACUUGGGCGCUGCUGAUCACCUUGCGGUCUCCGCGAGUGCACUCGACAGCGCACAGGCCAGCAUCGGUUCGGGUGGCUGGAUAAAGGCCGUAGGAACGUAGCUCCCUUCGGGGAGUGUUAUAGCCUAGGGUGCCAUGCAGCCCAGCCGGACCGAGGACCGCGCCUUCGGGCUAGGAUGCUGGCGUAAUGGGUGUAAGCGACCCGUCUUGAAACACGGACCAAGGAGUCUAACAUCUAUGCGAGUGUUUGGGUGGUAAACCCAUACGCGGAAUGAAAGUGAACGUAGGUGA